rnacentral:SRP_RNA from 1 species
CAGCCGCGGCAGUAGGAGUGUGUGAACCGCGUCAGGGCCGGGAGGCAGCAGCGCUAAGCAUUCCUUCUACGUGCCGCGGUUUACC